AAGAAACCAGGGACAAACACCGCAACCUGGAUGAAUCUCAAAUGUAUUAGGCUAAGAUCCUUUUUAUUUCAUUCCCAUUUUGGAAGCUGUGAGCAUUUAGUUGUCUGCAGUGACAGCAGAACCUUGAUUUGAUACUUAAAGUGCCAAGAGAGACUAAAUUGAACGUGUGUGUUCUUGAGAGGAGAGACAAUUUAUGUAAGCAUUUGAAUUUAAUCAAAGUUUUAUGUGACUUGGCUCACAUAAUGGGAAUAGGGAGUAUCCUUUUAAUGGUCCCAGUGUCUGUGUGGUUGUGUGUUAUGUUGUGUGUGUGUGUGUGUGUGUGUCUGUGUGUGUGUAUGCGUGUAUGAUGUCCCCAGUGCCAAAAUGAAGCAGCUGAUACAAAUUCAGGGCCUAAUUUGGACAAAGACUGUCCUCUCUGACAUCCCCAUUUUAAGCAUUUCUGAAAAAUAUUGGAUUUAACUCUCAGUCUCAUUAGUCAAUGCCUCUCCCUCCCUGCCUUAUUUUUUUAUGAGCACAGAGUAUUAUAUAACAAUUCAUUCUUCAGAUCUAGGCAAAACAGGCAGUGUGACAAUUACAGCCAACUCAGAAGAAUUUUAAAAACACACACAACAAAAACCUGAAUACAAAUGCUUCCAUUUCAGGAAACAGCUCUCUCUCUUUACCUCCUCCUCCACAGUUCUACCACAACACACACACACACACACACACACACACACACACACACACACACACACACGGCAUAAGAAAUUGUAACCCAAAGGUCUAAACUUUCCAUGGUCUCAGGAGAUGGGAUCACACAGUCAGAAAGACAGAGCGAGGAAAAAAACUUAGCAAUUAGGCACACCAAAUAGCUGCCUCUCCUAUUGUCUGUGGUCAAUUAGAUGUGACUUUGGCCCUCAUAUAAUGAUACUAGGGCAAAAAUAUCAGAAUUUCUCCUUAUCUCUUCAGUACUUGCCACCAACAUCCGAAAUCCUCUUUCUCUAAAGCAAUUUGAGUGCAGCAAAAACAUGAUGACAGAAAGAAGAGAGGAAAAAAAAAAAGUUUGUUCUCAGAGCAGCACACGGAGCUGGUGCAUUUGUUUAGAAGGGACCUUAAUUAGAAUGUUAAAGAUGAC
rnacentral:lncRNA from 10 species